AAUUUCAGACAGAUGGUUCCACUAGAAGCCACGUUGUUUAAAAAGUCCUGAAACUUUUGAAUUGCACCUUGUAUAUUCAGGAGAUAUAUAAGAAAAGGAAUAACAGUUCUUUAAAUGCACAGCAAGAGCUCAAGAUAUUGAAACUGAAAUGGAAGCGGUUGAGCAAAUAUCAUUUUACCACAUAAAGGAAAGCAUACAUUCAGAUAAAGAAGCACUACCAGCAAAGAACCUCACACCUCACUUAUGAAAUAAGAGGAUUUCACUUUCUAACUACAAUAGAUAAGUUUUAAAAAUUUGGAGCGUUUUCAUUAAAAAAGGAAACCAUAUUACCAUAAUAGAACAACUGGAAGAGCACUUUUCAAAGAUAGGAAAACUAAAACAAAUUGCAGAUAACGAAUUCAAGGCAAUAAGAAUAAAGGAAUUUUUAAACAAUGAAAAUCUAGUACUACACUUAACCAAACCAAAUAUAUAUACAGUCAAUGCGGACAUCGAAAGACUCCACAAUACAACUAUAUACAUAUAUGUAUGAUAAAUAAAUUAAAUAAAGAUUUGCCAAUGAAACAUAGAAAUUAUAACAGAUAUCACUCUACAAUUAAGAGUACACCAUUACAUGUGCAAAAUGGUAGUGUAGAUUUAGUUAAUAUCAAACGCUAUAGGAGAAAAGUUUAUUAGAUAAAUUAAAUGAAAAAAGAGAAAAAAAUCGAGGAAAUGAAAGAAAGGUUUUAUUAAGAACUAUAGAGCGGUCAGGCACAAGGAACAACUCAAAUUUAAAAAGGCAAACUUGACACAUUCAAAUAACAUAAAAUUCACAAAUAUUGAUAACACUGUUGGGGAUAUUGACAUACAAAUAAGGAACCAAGAAAUAGUUCGAGAAACGGAUAUACUUGUAAUUGUGCAUAUAAUAGACAUCAAACAAAUUGAAAAAAUUAUAAAUGAAAUGACGGAUAAUAUUAAUUUAAUAAAUAUAAUACAUAAGGAUAUUUCAACUAGAAUUGUUAGAGGCUAGAAAUAAGUUGUUAACACUAAUUCCAAUUAGUAGCAGACAAAAGCGUGAAUUAAUCAAUGCAAUAAGUAGUAUGUCAAAAUAGCUUUUUGGCACAGUGGACGAAGAAGACCGUCAUGGCAUACAGGGACAUCUUUUACAAACAAACGAUUCAUUCAACCAGCAAAUUCAAAUUAAUACUUUUUUUUGCACUGCAAUUGAUCAAUUUAAAGAAAUCAUA